rnacentral:rRNA from 1 species
UUAUCCGGAAUGAUUGGGCGUAAAGGGUGCGUAGGUGGCAGAACAAGUCUGGAGUAAAAGGUAUGGGCUCAACCCGUACUGGCUCUGGAAACUGUUCAGCUAGAGAACAGAAGAGGACGGCGGAACUCCAUGUGUAGCGGUAAAAUGCGUAGAUAUAUGGAAGAACACCGGUGGCGAAGGCGGCCGUCUGGUCUGUUGCUGACACUGAAGCACGAAAGCGUGGGGAGCAAAUAGGAUUAGAUACCCUAGUAGUCCACGCCGUAAACGAUGAGAACUAGGUGUUGGGGGAAUAACUCAGUGCCGCAGUUAACGCAAUAAGUUCUCCGCCUGGGGAGUAUGCACGCAAGUGUGAAACUCAAAGGAAUUGACGGGGGCCCGCACAAGCGGUGGAGUAUGUGGUUUAA